rnacentral:rRNA from 1 species
GAUGAACGCUGACAGAAUGCUUAACACAUGCAAGUCUUUGGCGAAGCUGUGCUUGCACAGCCUAGCCAAGGCGGACGGGUUAGUAACGCGUAAGGAACUUGCCCUGCAGUCAGGGAUAACAGACGGAAACGACUGAUAAGACCUGGUAAAGUCAGGCGGACUCAUGUCCAGCCUGAUGAAAAGAGAUGCUGCAGGAGAGCCUUGCGUCCUAUUAGCUUGUUGGUGGGGUAACGGCCCACCAAGGCGAUGAUAGGUAGCCGGCCUGAGAGGGUGGACGGCCACAAGGGGACUGAGAUACGGCCCUUACUCCUACGGGAGGCAGCAGUGGGGAAUAUUGGACAAUGGGGGCAACCCUGAUCCAGCAAUUCUGUGUGCACGAUGAAGGUUUUCGGAUUGUAAAGUGCUUUCAGCAGGGAAGAAAAAAAUGACGGUACCUGCAGAAGAAGCGACGGCUAAAUACGUG